rnacentral:rRNA from 1 species
UACGGAGGGUGCAAGCGUUAUCCGGAUUCACUGGGUUUAAAGGGUGCGUAGGUGGGCGAGAAAGUCAGUGGUGAAAUCUCCGGGCUUAACCCGGAAACUGCCAUUGAUACUAUCUGUCUUGAAUAUUGUGGAGGUGAGCGGAAUAUGUCAUGUAGCGGUGAAAUGCUUAGAUAUGACAUAGAACACCAAUUGCGAAGGCAGCUCGCUACACAUAUAUUGACUCUGAGGCACGAAAGCGUGGGGAUCAAACAGG